rnacentral:ncRNA from 1 species
GCAGAGUAGAGGAUUGUGCGUCCUGGUGUAAGCCAAAAAGUGUCUCGGGAUGGGAUGUCGCCCGGGAACGAAAGGGGAAACCCGCGGUACAGCCUCGCGUCCGCUGC